UACGGAGGGUGCUAGCGUUGUUCGGAAUUACUGGGCGUAAAGCGCGUGUAGGCGGCCGAUUAAGUCUGGUGUGAAAGCCCGGGGCUCACCCCCGGAAGUGCGCUGGAAACUGGUCGGCUAGAGUAUGGGAGAGGAAAGUGGAAUUCCCGGUGUAGCGGUGAAAUGCGUAGAUAUCAGGAGGAACACCGGUGGCGAAGGCGGCUUUCUGGACGACAACUGACGCUGAGACGCGAAAGCGUGGGGAGCGAACAGG
rnacentral:rRNA from 1 species